rnacentral:rRNA from 1 species
AUACGUGCCAGCAGCCGCGGUAAUACGUAUGGUGCAAGCGUUAUCCGGAUUUACUGGGUGUAAAGGGAGCGUAGACGGAGAAGCAAGUCUGGAGUGAAAGCCCGGGGCUCAACCCCGGGACUGCUUUGGAAACUGUUUUUCUUGAGUGCCGGAGAGGUAAGCGGAAUUCCUAGUGUAGCGGUGAAAUGCGUAGAUAUUAGGAGGAACACCAGUGGCGAAGGCGGCUUACUGGACUGUAACUGACGUUGAGGCUCGAAAGCGUGGGGAGCA